rnacentral:rRNA from 1 species
GACGAACGCUGGCGGCGUGCCUAAUACAUGCAAGUAGAACGCUGAAGAGAGGAGCUUGCUCUUCUUGGAUGAGUUGCGAACGGGUGAGUAACGCGUAGGUAACCUGCCUGGUAGCGGGGGAUAACUAUUGGAAACGAUAGCUAAUACCGCAUAACAACAUUUGUUGCAUGACAGCUGUUUAAAAGAUGCAAUUGCAUCACUACCAGAUGGACCUGCGUUGUAUUAGCUAGUUGGUGAGGUAACGGCUCACCAAGGCGACGAUACAUAGCCGACCUGAGAGGGUGAUCGGCCACACUGGGAAUGAGACACGGCCCAGAAUCCUACGGGAGGGAGCAGUAGGGAAACUUCGGCAAUGGGGGGAACCCUGACCGGGCAACGCCGCGUGAGGGAAGAAGGGUUUCGGAUCGUAAAGAUCUGUUGUAAGGGAAGAAAGGGUGUGAGAGUGGAAAGUUCACACUGUGACGGUAUCUAACCAGAAAGGGACGGCUAACUACGUG